GAUGAACGCUGACAGAAUGCUUAACACAUGCAAGUCUACUUGAAGCACUUUCGGGUGUGGAUGGUGGCGGACGGGUGAGUAACGCGUAAAUAACUUGCCCCCUAGUCUGGGACAACUGUUGGAAACGACAGCUAAUACUAGAUAUUAUGAGACCUUGGCAUCAAGGACUUAUGAAAGCUAUAUGCGCUGGGGGAGAGAUUUGCGUCCUAUUAGCUAGUUGGUGAGGUAAUGGCUCACCAAGGCGACGAUAGGUAGCCGGCCUGAGAGGGUGAACGGCCACAAGGGGACUGAGACACGGCCCUUACUCCUACGGGAGGCAGCAGUGGGGAAUAUUGGACAAUGGACCAAAAGUCUGAUCCAGCAAUUCUGUGUGCUUGAUGAAGGCCUUCGGGUUGUAAAGAGCUUUAAGUAGGGAAGAAGAAAGUGACGGUACCUACGGAAUAAGCGACGGCUAAAUACGUGCCAGCAGCCGCCGUAA
rnacentral:rRNA from 1 species